AUUUUUUCCCUAUGUGCUUGUUUAUUUUGAUCUUGUUAGAGCUUUUAACCAAGUAUCUAAGGAUCCUUGACUAUUCAUUCAUCUUAUAAGUGAGGCACUGAAAAGCUAAUUGGAAUCUCGAGGAAAAUGGGUUUCACCAUUAUGAUUUUUGCUUUAAAAUUCUAGUGGAUCCUCUACAGCAAGUUUAUUUAAGAAAAUUUCUUUCCACUGCUGGCUUGGUAAGAUGAAAUUUUUAAAAAAACCCAAAAACAGGAAUGGAUUUUGUAUUUCAACAAUGCUUUCUUGGCGUCUGUUGAAAUCACUGUAUACUCUUUAACCUUUAAUCUGUUAAUGUGGUUUCCUAGUGGUAGCGUUUCUAACAGCAGUAUUUCAGAAGGGCUUUGCUGCCUUUCUCCAAGAAGCAGCUAAAAUUUUCUGCUUUUGAAGAAAGGGGAAACUUGGGGUGGAGAGGCUGGCAAUGCUGUCCGUGCUGCCUGUGUUUAGGACUGCUGUUGCGCUCUUUGCUCUGUGCCAUGCAAAAGGUUGAGCACCCGAAUUAUCAUCCAAGCCAGGACCCCUUGAGAAUGACAAACGCCAAACUAAUUGUGAAGUUGGGACAAGUAUCUGUUGGGACCAGCCCAGACUUGAGGUCAAUCUGGUGGCUUUUAUAUACUUGAUACUCUAGGAAAAUUAUUUGAAGACCUGUGAACAAUUAGGUAAGUGGAGUCUUUAGCAGAUGACUUUCGUAUGUUUCUAGGAGAAAUGAGCGAACCAAUCAGAAUUAAUUUGUUAGUACUAAUUGGAUCCAACCUGGGAUAGACCCUAAUUUUACCCUGUAGAAAGAUCUUAGGCCUUUCCUGCCUCUGCUAGAGUUAAAGUUUGUUUGUUUUUUCCUAAGUGGGUGUCAUCUGUGUGAAGUCCUGGGCAAUUUCUUUUAAGUACGUUUCUUUUCUUCCCUGCUGUAUCUCCUCUUAGUUUGUUGAGAGAUGGUUGUCGGCAUUCCACUUCACUUGUCAGGCUGCAUGCAAAGACAAAGAUUGGAGAUCUACAAGCGAAUAGAAAUAUUUCAACAAACAAUGCCUGGUACUUUCAAUCUGAUCACUUUACAAACAAGUGGAUGCUUUCUCUAUUGUGCAAAUGACCUCAGCAAGGAAAGUUGAUUAAGCUCAGGCUCACUCUACUCAGAGCCAUCUUCCAGCACUUCUCUCGCAAUCACACCGCUAUUCUCCUGAUAUACUCUUCCCUUAAAAAAAACCAGAGCAACCCUCAAUAGCAUUUAUUUCAUUAUUUUAAAAAAUAGGUAAAUAUUUAUACUUCAAAUAGUUAAAUGUAAACAGUGUUUUGUUAAGCGUGAUAAAUUACAUUCACACUGACUUUAAAGCCAACUCUAUUUUAGACAGGCUUUAUGCCAAGACCUCUUGUGUAUGUUAUCUUAUUUAAUUCUCACAAUAUUCUAAGCGUACUACUUUCCCAUUUUAUACCUAAGAUAAUC